rnacentral:rRNA from 1 species
GCAAGUGACGGUACCUGCAGAAAAAGCACCGGCUAACUACGUGCCAGCAGCCGCGGUAAUACGUAGGGUGCAGCGUUGUCCGGAAUUAUUGGGCGUAAAGAGCUCGUAGGCGGUUUGUCGCGUCUGCUGUGAAAUCCCGAGGCUCAACCUCGGGCUUGCAGUGGGUACGGGCAGACUAGAGUGCGGUAGGGGAGAUUGGAAUUCCUGGUGUAGCGGUGGAAUGCGCAGAUAUCAGGAGGAACACCGAUGGCGAAGGCAGAUCUCUGGGCCGUAACUGACGCUGAGGAGCGAAAGCGUGGGGAGCGAACAGGAUUAGAUACCCUGGUAGUCCACGCCGUAAACGUUGGGCGCUAGAUGUAGGGACCUUUCCACGGUUUCUGUGUCGUAGCUAACGCAUUAAGCGCCCCGCCUGGGGAGUACGGCCGCAAGGCUAAAACUCAAAGGAAUUGACGGGGGCCCGCACAAGCGGCGGAGCAUGCGGAUUAAUUCGAUGCAACGCGAAGAACCUUACCAAGGCUUGACAUACACCGGUAACGGCCAGAGAUGGUCGCCCCCUUGUGGUCGGUGUACAGGUGGUGCAUGGUUGUCGUCAGCUCGUGUCGUGAGAUGUUGGGUUAAGUCCCGCAACGAGCGCAACCCUCGUUCUAUGUUGCCAGCGCGUGAUGGCGGGGACUCAUAGGAGACUGCCGGGGUCAACUCGGAGGAAGGUGGGGAUGACGUCAAAUCAUCAUGCCCCUUAUGUCUUGGGCUUCACGCAUGCUACAAUGGCCGGUACAAAGGGCUGCGAUACCGUAAGGUGGAGCGAAUCCCAAAAAGCCGGUCUCAGUUCGGAUUGAGGUCUGCAACUCGACCUCAUGAAGUCGGAGUCGCUAGUAAUCGCAGAUCAGCAACGCUGCGGUGAAUACGUUCCCGGGCCUUGUACACACCGCCCGUCAAGUCAUGAAAGUCGGUAACACCCGAAGCCGGUGGCCUAACCCUUGUGGGAGGAGCCGUCGUAG